CCUACGGGAGACAGCAGUGAGGAAUAUUGGUCAAUGGGCGAGAGCCUGAACCAGCCAAGUCGCGUGAGGGAGUACUGCCCUAUGGGUUGUAAACCUCUUUUGUACCGGGGUAAAAUGCUCUACGAGUAGGGUUUUGAAAGUACGGUACGAAUAAGGAUCGGCUAACUCCGUGCCAGCAGCCGCGGUAAUACGGAGGAUCCGAGCGUUAUCCGGAUUCAUUGGGUUUAAAGGGUGCGUAGGUUGUUUUAUAAGUUAGCGGUGAAAUACCGAUGCUCAACAUCGGGGCUGCCGCUAAUACUGUAGGACUAGAGAUCGGAUGCAGCAGGCGGAAUGUGUAGUGUAGCGGUGAAAUGCAUAGAUAUUACACAGAACACCGAUUGCGAAGGCAGCUUGCUAGGCCGGAUCUGACACUGAUGCACGAAAGCGUGGGGAUCGAACAGGAUUAGAUACCCUGGUAGUC
rnacentral:rRNA from 1 species